CCUACGGGAGGCAGCAGUGAGGAAUAUUGGUCAAUGGGCGGGAGCCUGAACCAGCCAAGUCGCGGGAGGGAAGAAGGUACGGAGUAUGGUAAACCUCGUUUGCCAGGGGACAAAGGCGGCCACGGGUGGCCGUAAGAGGGUACCUGGAGAAAAAGCAUCGGCUAACUCCGUGCCAGACGCCGCGGUAAUACGGGGGAUGCGAGCGUUAUCCGGAUUUAUUGGGGUAAAAGGGUGCGCGGGCGGUGUGUCAAGUCAGCGGUAAAAUGUCGGGGCUCAACCCCGGCCGGCCGUUGAAACUGGCGUGCGCGAGUUGGCGAGAAGUAUGCGGAAUUCGUGGUGUAGCGGUGAAAUGCAUAGAUAUCACGAAGAACCCCGAUUGCGAAGGCAGCAUACC
rnacentral:rRNA from 1 species